UUAAAGUUUUAUUUUGGCUUGUAAUUUAACUUUAUUAUUUAUUUAUAUAUAAAUUUUAUUAUAAAGAAAAAAAAUAUAGUAUGUAGAUUUAAAUUUUAAGGUUACUUAGAUUUAGAAAUUAAAUUUAAUAUAAACUAAAUUUGUGCCAGCAGUUGCGGUUAUACAAAUUAUAUAAGUUAAAUUUAUUUAGUAUAAUUAAAUAAAAAAUAUUAUAAUUUAAUAUUAAAUUUUUGGGGUGAAAUUUAAAAUUUAAGUUAUUUAUUAAAAUGUUUUUGAAGUUAACAAAUUUUUUUUUAAACUAGGAUUAGAUACCCUAUUAUUUAAAAUGUAAUUUUUAUUCUAUAAUUAUUAAUAGUUAUGAUCUUUAAAAUUAAAAAUUUUGGCGGUAUUUUAGUCUUUUCAGAGGAACCUGUUUUUUAAAAUGAUAGUCCACGAUUAAUUUUAUUUUUAUUUUAAAUUUGUAUAUCGUCGUGAUUGAAUAUUUUAUUAGAAUUUUAAUAUUCAAGAUUUUUUUGAAAAAUUAAUUCAGAUCAAGGUGCAGUUUAUAUAAAAGUUAAAAUGGGUUACAUUAAUAUUAAUUUUGGUUUUUUAAUUUAAAAUUAAAAUUAAAUUGGAUUUGAAAGUAAAAAUAUAUUUAUAUUUAUUUUGAAUAAGCUCUAAAAUAUGCACAUAUCGCCCGUCGCUUUCAUUUAAUAUGGAAUAAGUCGUAACAAAGUAGGCUUAUUGGAAAAUGAGCCUGGAAAGUC
rnacentral:ncRNA from 1 species